GGCCGGAUUUAUUUGGGAUCUAGGUUGAGUAGUGGGCGUGAGAACGGUUCCAUUAAAAGAGAUAGUAUUUGUGACUCGAGAGUUAUGCAUAUUGUUGAGAAAAGUCUGUAUUUUCUCAUCCCCUCUUUUCCGAGUUACGCUUCUCACCUUCCUUCCAUUUGUUUUCGUUCCUAGUGAUUUCCCUUUCUUUCAGUUUGAAAAAUUCCUUUGUAAUUCCAGUAACGAGUUAGUGAAAUACAUUAAUACCUUGUUUGGGUUUGAGUUAUGUUUGGUAUGAUAUUGAGUUUGUUCCAUAUAGUUUUCGUCAUCUGUACAGAAUUAGGGGUUCUUUAAGGAUUUAUUGUCUUUGGCAUUUUUUGGCUAUAUGUAACUUGUAUCGUUUUUUUACUUUAACUUUCCAAUAAUCUUAUAUUAUAGGUGUUUGUGUACACGUAGGUUUACUAAUUAACUAAGAGAUCAUAACUCAAAUUGCAAAGGACAAGCUGAGUAGGGCAUUUUUUUUUUGAGACUAUGAGAGUGUUUUGUUAAGUUUAUACGUAUUUUUUCACUUAUUUGCGUGUUUGAUCAAUAAGCAUUUAAAGUGCUUAUAAUUCAAGUGUUUCAAAGCUAAACUCAGCCAAAGCCAUAAGUUGGUCGUCCCUAACUUAUGACUUUUCCGUUAUAAACACUUUUAAUUUGUGGGUCUAUUGAAAAUAACCUCUCUUGGUGUGAUGCAGUGAGACAGAUGCGAGGCAAAGGUGUGCAGCCUAAUUUGGCCAUGAACUUGAAAAAUUUCCCUGUCUUGGGCAGCACACCAAUCAAGAAUGCUUAUGAGGGUGUUCAAUAAGAGGUACAAGCAAAACGAGUUAUAGAGUUUGGGUUAUGUGGGAUGGUAACCAUUACCAGGUUACCCUUAUCAGGAUAGGGGACCAAUUCAUUCACUGUCACAUUAAGGGGAUUGCUAAGCAUAUAGAAGUUGUGCUCACUGUUGUGUAUGGGUAUAACUCUCUGGAGCAAAAAAAAAAAAAAAUCUUUAUGGGCUAGUUUACUGGAAAUUGGCCAGGGCACAUCACAGCCUUGGCUAGUAGCUGGUAACUUUAAUGCAGUUUUAUAUCCUGACGAUAGGCUUCUAGAAAAUCCCAUUGUGUAUUCUGAGAUUCAGGAGUUUUCUGACUGUAUGCAACAUCUGGCACUCAAUGAACUACCUUGGAAUGGCGAGUGCUACACUUGGACUAAUAAACAGAAAGGUGAUGAUAGGGUGUGGAGCAGAAUUGACAGAGCUUUUGGUAAUUAUAAGUGGAUGAUGGCAUGAGGGCAUGUGGUGACUAGAUAUGGACUUCCUUUUAUUUCAGACCAUGCUCCAAUGAUGAUCACCCUCUGCUCCACUACUUGCUCUGGUAAGGUUCCAUUUAGAUUCUUCAAUGCAUGGGCUGACCAUCCUAGCUUCAUGUCUAUACUCGGGGAACAAUGGAGUCAGGCUAGUACACAAAGGAAGAUGCAAAGUGUUUGGUGCAAACUCAAGGCUCUGCAACCUCAGCUGAAGCUGUUGAACAAGAGGGAAUUCAAAGAUAUUAGCCAAAGAAUUGUUCAAGCUAGAGCUGAAUUGGCAGAUGUUCAAAGAAGCAUUGCAACCUCUUAUUCUGACUCUUUACUGGAAGCUGAGAAAAAUUUAUUGCAAAACUUAGAGAAAUGGUCCCUAAUAAAAGAGAGUGUCCUACAACAGAAGGCUAGAGCAACUUGAAUUAAAUUGGGAGACUCUAAU